rnacentral:rRNA from 1 species
GAGUUUGAUUCUGGCUCAGAACGAACGCUGGCGGCGCGUCUUAAGCAUGCAAGUCGAACGGCAAGAAAGGAGCUUGCUCCUUUCCUAGAGUGGCGGACUGGUGAGGAACACGUGGGUAAUCUACCCUUGAGAUGGGGAUAGCCGUUAGAAAUAGCGGGUAAUACCGAAUACACUUAUUAUUUCACAAGAGAUAGUAAGGAAAGGAAGCUACGGCUUCGCUCGAGGAUGAGCCUGCGUCCCAUUAGCUAGUUGGUGAGGUAACGGCUCACCAAGGCAACGAUGGGUAUCCGGCCUGAGAGGGUGAUCGGACACAUUGGGACUGAGAUACGGCCCAAACUCCUACGGGAGGCAGCAGCUAAGAAUAUUCCGCAAUGGACGGAAGUCUGACGGAGCGACGCCGCGUGGAUGAAGAAGGCUGAAAAGUUGUAAAAUCCUUUUGUUGAUGAAGAAUAAGGAUAAGAGGGAAUGCUUAUCUGA